rnacentral:rRNA from 1 species
GACGAACGCUGGCGGCGUGCCUAAUACAUGCAAGUCGAGCGGGCCAAAUCGGAGCUUGCUCUGGUUUGGUCAGCGGCGGACGGGUGAGUAACACGUGGGCAACCUGCCCGCAAGACCGGGAUAACUCCGGGAAACCGGAGCUAAUACCGGAUAACACCGAAGACCGCAUGGUCUUUGGUUGAAAGGCGGCCUUUGGCUGUCACUUGCGGAUGGGCCCGCGGCGCAUUAGCUAGUUGGUGAGGUAACGGCUCACCAAGGCGACGAUGCGUAGCCGGCCUGAGAGGGUGACCGGCCACACUGGGACUGAGACACGGCCCAGACUCCUACGGGAGGCAGCAGUAGGGAAUCUUCCGCAAUGGGCGAAAGCCUGACGGAGCGACGCCGCGUGAGCGAAGAAGGCCUUCGGGUCGUAAAGCUCUGUUGUGAGGGACGAAGGAGCGCCGUUCGAAGAGGGCGGCGCGGUGACGGUACCUCACGAGGAAGCCCCGGCUAACUACGUGCCAGCAGCCGCGGUAAUACGUAGGGGGCGAGCGUUGUCCGGAAUUAUUGGGCGUAAAGCGCGCGCAGGCGGUCCCUUAAGUCUGAUGUGAAAGCCCACGGCUCAACCGUGGAGGGUCAUUGGAAACUGGGGGACUUGAGUGCAGGAGAGGAGAGCGGAAUUCCACGU